UUUAACCCUAAUAGAAUAGAUUCUCAUAUUA
rnacentral:tRNA from 1 species